GGAUUGCCUUAGUACGGCGAGUGAAGCGGCAAAAGCUCAAAUUUGAAAUCUGGCACUUUCAGUGUCCGAGUUGUAAUUUGAAGAAGGUAUCUUUGGGUCUGGCUCUUGUCUAUGUUUCUUGGAACAGAACGUCACAGAGGGUGAGAAUCCCGUGCGAUGAGAUGUCCCAGACCUAUGUAAAGUUCCUUCGAAGAGUCGAGUUGUUUGGGAAUGCAGCUCUAAGUGGGUGGUAAAUUCCAUCUAAAGCUAAAUAUUGGCGAGAGACCGAUAGCGAACAAGUACAGUGAUGGAAAGAUGAAAAGAACUUUGAAAAGAGAGUGAAAAAGUACGUGAAAUUGUUGAAAGGGAAGGGCUUGAGAUCAGACUUGGUAUUUUGUAUGUUACUCUCUCGGGGGUGGCCUCUACAGUUUACCGGGCCAGCAUCAGUUUGAGCGGUAGGAUAAGUGCAAAGAAAUGUGGCACUGCUUCGGUAGUGUGUUAUAGUCUUUACUCG
rnacentral:rRNA from 1 species